rnacentral:rRNA from 1 species
UACAGAGGGGGCAAGCGUUGUUCGGAAUUACUGGGCGUAAAGGGCGCGUAGGCGGCCUUCUAAGUCGAACGUGAAAUCCCCGGGCUCAACCCGGGAACUGCGUCCGAUACUGGAAGGCUUGAAUCCGGGAGAGGGAUGCGGAAUUCCAGGUGUAGCGGUGAAAUGCGUGGAUAUCUGGAGGAACACCGGUGGCGAAGGCGGCAUCCUGGACCGGCAUUGACGCUGAGACGCGAAAGCGUGGGGAGCAAACAGG